CUCUAGCCUUUUCUCUCUAUCCUGUUGGGAUAAAAAUUCUUGUGUAAACUUAUUUAACCCCUUAUUGGUUUCCCUUUUGUAGAAGACUUAAAUUCCAAGUUAAAAUGGAAAAUUUACGUCAAAUCAGGAAACAACUCUAUGCUUGCCUGCUUAGCUUGGUAUUUCUACGCCUACUGCCAUUAUAUGUGUGUAACCUAGCAUUUGUGGGGGUAUUUGUGAAGCCUAGAAUAAUCCAGAAAAUCCUUGAGACAACAUAUAGAAUUUUUUCCGAAGAAGACGAGUUUUGCCUCAUUAAAAGUGUAAGGCCCACAAAUAUUCCAACCUGAAGCUCAACAUCCCUGGACGCUCGAGCAACUACCUACGACAUCACCAAGCUCCCCUACUCAUGGCAUGAAAAAGUUAAAGACAUUAAAGAUAUGAUUAAUCACCAAAUCCUAUCUUUAAUACAUUCCUGAUUUAAUACAUAUCCUAAACAUUCAUGAUCAUAGGAUUGCCCAUUGGGCAUUGACAGUCUAUUAAGAUCAGUACAUGUUAUCUUCUCUUAGGGAGAUUGACUAGUCUUGAGUCAUUGGUGUGACUGACACCAAGACAAGUAUGUAGGUGCCCAAUAGAGAAUAAGUCCACUGAACACAAUUAACAAGGAGUUCUCAUACUCAUGUCACAUGAGAACUCAUGGUUGGGAUAAUCCAAAGUAGUCAUUUGAUCUGAGGCAUCAUAGUUGUCUUGUGGUUAGGUCCUUGAUCUUUAACUAUGUCAAAGUCACUCAUUUAAAGGGUGUCCACGGCAUACUUGGGGUUAAGCCACUUAGUCAUGGAGGCAAAUGAAUGCAUAACAAGGGAUCUCUAACCUUCAAAGCGUUUGAAGGAGAAUACUCUAUGAUAUGAUUAAGAAUCUCUGGCCAGAGUAUGAAUGAGAUUUAGGAAGUUGUUCCAAAUCACGUUCAAAGUAAUCAUAUAAGUAAGAGAAUCACAUUGGAUAGUAGACAUGAAUAAACUAUCAAACCAAACAAUGUGGUUAAGAGUAUUGUAUUAGAGAAAGACCGUAUUUCAUUGUAAUCCUAAACUGAAUGGGAUAUCUACCUCUUCUGAUUAGCUUGGGUAGCCAUGAUAUACUGCUAGGUGUCACUCAUGAUUUGUGGAAGCCCUAAAGGUGUAUAAUCACUAAAGGGAGAAUUGAAAGCAUGUUUCAAUUCACAAUUGAUUUGAAGAGUUCUAAUCGCCCAUUGCCUCGCUAAAAGGAACCUAAUGGAUCGUACACCGUGUAAGGUAGAGAUUGAAGAAACAACGGAGAUGAGUAAGAAUAAUUAAAUGGUUUAAUUAUUUAUGGUUAGGAUGAAUAAUAUGUUAAUUAAUCAAACGAAUAAGUUCGUUAUAGACCUCGGGUUAGUUUUGGGCCGCAAGGCCCAAUGGGAUUUGAAUGUCAAGCCCAAUAACUCAAGUUGUAUGACAACUUGAAAACACAAAGGGCUUCAAAGCCCAAUUAACCUGCAAUGGCCAGCCAUAUUGGUGAGGGUAGCAAACUUGUAUUAAUUGCAAGUUUGCCACUCCAUUGUGAGGUGUUAUAAAAGGAACUUUAUAGCCAUUUCAUCAUAAGGGUUUUCUUUGGAGAAAAGAUGAGAACAUAAAGCUAUCUUGACUCUCUAGGAGGCCGGCCACCCUAGGGAGAGAUUACUAGCAUCUAUCUCUUCCUAGGUUACUCAUCUCUUCAUCAAUGCUCUCCUUGGUAUGGUGACUUAGAGGUUCUCUAUUUUGGGAACUUGGAGAAUCCAUUCAUCCAUCCUCCUCCAAAAAAUCCAUGGAGCGAAGAAAUAAGGAAUGAAGGCCUUCUAUCUUGGGUGAUUAGCCUUUGC
rnacentral:lncRNA from 1 species